AUACGGAGGAUCCGAGCGUUAUCCGGAUUUAUUGGGUUUAAAGGGUGCGCAGGCGGCCAUUUAAGUCAGCGGUUAAAUCGUGGGGCUCAAUCCCAUUCUGCCGUUGAUACUGGGUGGCUUGAUUGCGGUCGAGGUUGGCGGAAUUCGUUGUGUAGCGGGGAAAUGCAUAGAUAUGACGAAGAAAACCGAUUGCGUAGGCAGCUGACCAGACCGCAAAUGACGCUCAUGCACGAAAGUGCGGGGAUCGAACAGGAUUAGAUACCCUGGUAGUCCGCACAGUAAACGAUGAAUACUUGUUUUCGGCGAUAUAAUGUCGGAGGCAAAGCGAAAGCGAUAAGUAUUCCACCUGGGGAGUACGCCGUCAACGGUGAAACUCAAAUGAAUUGGCGGGG
rnacentral:rRNA from 1 species